rnacentral:pre_miRNA from 1 species
AGUGGUAUAACUGUGUUAAAUGGUGAUUCCAUUCCUAGUUUUUUGAGGAAUCUCCAUGCUGUUUUCCAGAGUGGUUGCACCAAUUUGCAGUCCCACCAGCAAU